rnacentral:tRNA from 1 species
CAGGGAGUAGCUCAGUUCGGUCAGAGUGCUCGCCUCGGACGCGAGAGGCCGCGGGUUCAAAUCCCGCCUCCCUGA